rnacentral:rRNA from 1 species
GACGAACGCUGGCGGCGUGCUUAACACAUGCAAGUCGAACGGAAAGGCCCUGCUUUUGUGGGGUGCUCGAGUGGCGAACGGGUGAGUAACACGUGAGUAACCUGCCCUUGACUUUGGGAUAACUUCAGGAAACUCGGGCUAAUACCGGAUAGGAGCUCCUGCUGCAUGGUGGGGGUUGGAAAGUUUCGGCGGUUGGGGAUGGACUCGCGGCUUAUCAGCUUGUUGGUGGGGUAGUGGCUUACCAAGGCUUUGACGGGUAGCCGGCCUGAGAGGGUGACCGGCCACAUUGGGCCUGGGAUGCGGCCAGACUGCUACGGGAGGCAGCAGUGGGGAAUAUUGCACAAUGGGCGGAAGCCUGAUGCAGCAACGCCGCGUGCGGGAUGACGGCCUUCGGGUUGUAAACCGCUUUCGCCUGUGACGAAGCGUGAGUGACGGUAAUGGGUAAAGAAGCACCGGCUAACUACGUG